UCAAUAAGCGGAGGAAAAGAAACCAACAGGGAUUGCCUUAGUAACUGCGAGUGAAGCGGCAAGAGCUCAAAAUUUGAAAAUCUGGCACCUUUGGUGUCCGAGUUGUAAUUUGUAGAAGUGUCUUUUGAGUCAGUCCUUGCAUAUGUUCCUUGGAACAGGACAUCAUAGAGGGUGAGAAUCCCGUUCAUGGUGGGGAUACUGAUUCUUUGUAAAGCGCUUUCGACGAGUCGAGUUGUUUGGGAAUGCAGCUCUAAGUGGGUGGUAAAUUCCAUCUAAAGCUAAAUAUUGGCGAGAGACCGAUAGCGAACAAGUACAGUGAUGGAAAGAUGAAAAGAACUCCGAAAGGAGAGUGAAAAAGGACGUGAAAUUGUUGAAAGGGAAGUGCUUGAGAUCAGUCUUAGGUUUUGGUGAUCAGUUUUUCUUUUGAAAGAUGCACUUGCCUUUGCCUAGGCCAGCAUCAGUUUUGGCGACAGGAUAAUAGCUUUGGAAUGUGGCUCUUUCGGGAGUGUUAUAGCCUUUGUUGAUACUGUCUGCUUGGACUGAGGAACGCGCUUUUGCUAGGAUGUUGGCAUAAUGAUCUUAAGCAGCCCGUCUUGAAACACGGACCAAGGAGUCUAACAACUAUGCAAGUGUUUGGGUGUUAAACCCGUACGCAUAAUGAAAGUGAACGUAGGUGGGAACCAUUUGGUGCACCAUCGACCGAUCCUGAUGUUUUCGGAUGGAUUUGAGUAAGAGCAUAGCUGUUGGGACCCGAAAGAUGGUGAACUAUGCCUGAAUAGGGUGAAGCCAGAGGAAACUCUGGUGGAGG
rnacentral:rRNA from 1 species